GGGUGUGUAAGCGCGGUGAGGCGUUGAGCUAACCAAUACUAAUUGCCCGUGAGGCUUGACCAUAUAACACCC
rnacentral:rRNA from 1 species